AGAGUUUGAUCCUGGCUCAGGAUGAACGCUGGCGGCGUGCCUAAUACAUGCAAGUCGAACGAGGAGUAGCAAUACUCCUAGUGGCGAACGGGUGAGUAACGCGUUGGUGACCUGCCUCGAAGUGAGGGAUAACAGGCCGAAAGGCUUGCUAAUACCGCAUGGUCAACCGGGAGACUAGAAGCCUGGUUGUAAAGGAGAAAUCCGCUUUGAGAGGGGCCUGCGUCCCAUCAGCUAGUUGGUAAGGUAACGGCUUACCAAGGCGAUGACGGGUAGGGGACCUGAGAGGGUGAUCCCCCACAAUGGAACUGAAACACGGUCCAUACACCUACGGGUGGCAGCAGUAGGGAAUAUUGCUUAAUGGGCGCAAGCCUGAAGCAGCAACGCCGCGUGUGCGAUGAAGGCCUUCGGGUUGUAAAGCACUUUUUGCUGGGAAGAGGAAGGACGGUACCAGCAGAAUAAGCCUCGGCUAACUACGUGCCAGCAGCCGCGGUAAAACGUAGGAGGCGAGCGUUAUCCGGAUUUACUGGGUGUAAAGCGCGUGCAGGCGGUUUACUAAGUUGGAUGUGAAAGCUCCUGGCUCAACUGGGAGAGGUCGUUCAAAACUGGUAGACUCGAGAGCAGUAGGGGAAGGUGGAAUUCCGGGUGUAGUGGUGAAAUGCGUAGAUAUCCGGAGGAACACCAGUGGCGAAGGCGGCCUUCUGGACUGCAUCUGACGCUCAGACGCGAAAGCUAGGGUAGCAAACGGGAUUAGAGACCCCGGUAGUCCUAGCCGUAAACGAUGUGAACUUGGCGCCGGGCGGGUAAAACCGAUCGGUGCCGAAGCAAACGCGAUAAGUUCACCACCUGGGGACUACGGCCGCAAGGUUAAAACUCAAAUGAAUUGACGG
rnacentral:rRNA from 1 species